GAGAUCGGGAUAACACCUGGAAACAGAUGCUAAUACCGGAUAACAACAGAUGAUGCCUAUCAACUGUUUAAAAGAUGGUUCUGCUAUCACUCUUGGAUGACCUGCGGUGCAUUAGCUAGUUGGUAGGGUAACGGCCUACCAAGGCGAUGAUGCAUAGCCGAGUUGAGAGACUGAUCGGCCACAUUGGGACUGAGACACGGCCCAAACUCCUACGGGAGGCAGCAGCC
rnacentral:rRNA from 1 species